rnacentral:rRNA from 1 species
CCCUUAGAUGUUCUGGGCUGCACGCGCGCUACACUGACGCACGCAACAGGUGCCUGCUCCGAGAGGACUGGGUAAUCAUUUGAGUGUGCGUCGUGAUGGGGAUAGAAUAUUGUAAUUAUUACUCUUCAACGAGGAAUUCCUAGUAAGCGCCAGUCAGCAGCUUGCGCUGAUUACGUCCCUGCCCUUUGUACACACCGCCCGUCGCUACUACCGAUUGAACGGUUUAGUGAGGGCCUCGGAUUGGUCUCGGCCCGCUCUUUACCGGGCGGCGCCGUUGGUCGAGAAGACGCUCGAACUUGAUCGUUUAGAGGAAGUAAAAGUCGUAACA